rnacentral:rRNA from 1 species
UACGUAUGGAGCAAGCGUUAUCCGGAUUUACUGGGUGUAAAGGGAGUGUAGGUGGCCAUGCAAGUCAGAAGUGAAAAUCCGGGGCUCAACCCCGGAACUGCUUUUGAAACUGUGAGGCUGGAGUGCAGGAGGGGUGAGCGGAAUUCCUAGUGUAGCGGUGAAAUGCGUAGAUAUUAGGAGGAACACCAGUGGCGAAGGCGGCUCACUGGACUGUAACUGACACUGAGGCUCGAAAGCGUGGGGAGCAAACAGG